ACUCAAAUGAAUUGACGGGGGCCCGCACAAGCGGCGGAGCAUGUGGCUUAAUUCGACGCAACGCGAAGAACCUUACCAAGGCUUGACAUGCUGGGAAAUCCCAUAGAGAUAUGGGGUCCGUAAGGGUCCAGCACAGGUGGUGCAUGGCUGUCGUCAGCUCGUGUCGUGAGAUGUUGGGUUAAGUCCCGCAACGAGCGCAACCCUCGUUCUAUGUUGCCAGCGGAUAAUGCCGGGGACUCAUAGGAGACUGCCGGGGUCAACUCGGAGGAAGGUGGGGAUGACGUCAAGUCAUCAUGCCCCUUACGUCUUGGGCUGCACACAUGCUACAAUGGUCGGUACAAAGGGCUGCGAGACCGCAAGGUGGAGCGAAUCCCAAAAAGCCGGCCUCAGUUCGGAUUGGGGUCUGCAACUCGACCCCAUGAAGUCGGAGUCGCUAGUAAUCGCAGAUCAGCAACGCUGCGGUGAAUACGUUCCCGGGCCUUGUACACACCGCCCGU
rnacentral:rRNA from 1 species